rnacentral:lncRNA from 1 species
GGUGUCCGGGCCAGCUUGCGCGCACCACGACUAAUCCCCAGGGUCUAACUGAGCACCCUGCAAGCCCAGAAGACAGGUAAGUCACCGCGGGGAUGGCAGGAAGGUAUACAAAGGGGUUCCAACCCGUGCGGUAUAGAGAGGGAACAAACGCCUCCCACACUAGCAGAACCCCCAAGUACAUGGGUGAGCUUGGGAGUCGAACCCAGGCAACUGAGGAGACUUCUG